AAGUCGUAACAAGGUUUCCGUAGGUGAACCUGCGGAAGGAUCAUUAAAGAGUUAGGGUCCUCUGGGCCCGAUCUCCAACCCUAUGUUUAAUUACCAUGUUGCUUUGGCGGGCCCGUCCCACGACCGCCGAGAGUCUAGGCUUUCGGCCUGUGCCCGUCAGUAGCCCCUUCAAAUUCUUGAUAAAUUAUGAUAUCUGAGUUAUAAAUUUAAUAGUUAAAA
rnacentral:misc_RNA from 1 species